rnacentral:rRNA from 1 species
CCUGGUUGAUCCUGCCAGUAGUCAUAUGCUUGUCUCAAAGAUUAAGCCAUGCAUGUGUAAGUACAGGCCGACUUAAGGCGAAACCGCGGACGGCUCAUUAAAUCAGAUAUAACUCAUUGGAUCUCUGCUGAACCGCAUUACUUGGAUAACUGUGGUAAUUCUAGAGCUAAUACAUGCCUUUGUAGUCUCCGACCGCGAGGGAGGAGCGCUUUUAUUAGACCAAAACCCUCGGCAGCCGGUUCCCGCAAGGGGCCGGCCGCACACAUCUUGGUGAAUCAGAAUAACUUUUGCCGAGCGCACGACCCCUCCCGUAACCCGGGUUGGGUCGGCGCCGCGUCCUGCAGGCGUCUGCCUUAUCAGCUCUCGAUUGUAGGUUAAACGCCUACAAUGGCUAUCACGGGUAACGGGGAAUCAGGGUUCGAUUCCGGAGAGGGAGCCUGAGAAACGGCUACCACAUCUAAGGAAGGCAGCAGGCGCGCAAAUUACCCACUCCCGGCACGGGGAGGUAGUGACGAAAAAUACUGUUGCGAGCCCCGAACGGGGCCUCGCAAUUGGAAUGAGUACACUUUAAAUCCUUGUACGAGGAUCGAGUGGAGGGCAAGUCUGGUGCCAGCCGCCGCGGUAAUUCCAGCUCCACUAGCGUAUAUUAAAGUUGUUGCGGUUGAAACGCUCGUAGUUUGACUUCUGCUCCGGACCGGCGGUCCGCCUUAGCGGCGGCUACUGCCGGGUUCCGAGCUGUGUCCCCGCCGGCGCACAUGGGGUUUUUAUGCCCUUAACCGGGUGUCCCCUUGUGGCCGGCACGUUUACUUUGAAAAAAUUAGAGUGCAUGAGGAUAACACUGCAUUGGGCCGACGUCUGCAUCCCUGAACACUGGAUCUGCGACUCUUACUACGACUGUCCUGGCGGCGAAGACGAGGCCGACUGCUCGGCUACAAGCGCCCCUGGCUGCGACGAAGGGUAUUUCGAAUGCAAAGGCGGUGGCUGCAUCAACAACAAGUUCCGCUGCGACAGUUUCUAUG